AUCUUUUAUUCUUUAUGAGCUUGAUGAUAGGGGUUUUCACAGUCAUGUGUGAGAAGUACCUCCUUCAAACUUUGCUGCAACAUUGGCACAUCACUUCUCUAACA
ensembl:snoRNA